rnacentral:rRNA from 1 species
CGGAAGGUCCAGGCGUUAUCCGGAUUUAUUGGGGUUUAAAGGGAGCGCAGGCGGACUCUUAAGUCAGUUGUGAAAUACGGCGGCUCAACCGUCGGACUGCAGUUGAUACUGGGAGUCUUGAGUACACGCAGAGAUACUGGAAUUCAUGGUGUAGCGGUGAAAUGCUCAGAUAUCAUGAGGAACUCCGAUCGCGAAGGCAGGUAUCUGGAGUGUAACUGACGCUGAGGCUCGAAAGUGCGGGUAUCAAACAGGAUU